rnacentral:rRNA from 1 species
CCUACGGGUGGCAGCAGUGAGGAAUAUUGGUCAAUGGGCGCGAGCCUGAACCAGCCACGUAGCGUGAAGGAUGACUGCCCUCCGGGUUGUAAACUUCUUUUAUAAAGGAGUAAAGUGAGGCACGUGUGCCUUUUUGUAUGUACUUUAUGAAUAAGGAUCGGCUAACUCCGUGCCAGCAGCCGCGGUAAUACGGAGGAUCCGAGCGUUAUCCGGAUUUAUUGGGUUUAAAGGGAGCGUAGAUGGGUUGUUAAGUCAGAUGUGAAAGUUUGCGGCUCAACCGUAAAAUUGCAAUUGAUACUGGCAGACUUGAGUACAGGUGAGGUAGGCGGAAUUCGUGGUGUAGCGGUGAAAUGCGUAGAUAUCACGAAGAACUCCGAUUGCGAAGGCAGCCUACUAAACUGCCACUGACAUUGAGGCUCGAAAGUGUGGGUAGCAAACAGGAUUAGAUACCCUAGUAGUC